rnacentral:rRNA from 2 species
UAUGAUCUGAAGUCAGGUGGGAUUACCCGCUGAACUUAAGCAUAUCAAUAAGCGGAGGAAAAGAAAAUAACAAUGAUUUCCCUAGUAACGGCGAGUGAAGAGGAAAGAGCUCAAAGUUGGAACCUGUUUGGCCUAGCUAAACCGGAUUGUAGACUGUAGAAGUGUUUUCCAGGCAAGCCGAGUAAAUAAGUCCUUUGGAACAGGGCAUCAUAGAGGGUGAGAAUCCCGUCUUUGGCUUGAGCAUUUGCCUUUUGUGAUACACUUUCAAAGAGUCAGGUUGUUUGGGAAUGCAGCCUAAAUUGGGUGGUAAAUCUCACCUAAAGCUAAAUAUUGGCGAGAAACCGAUAGCGAACAAGUACCGUGAGGGAAAGAUGAAAAGAACUUUGAAAAGAGAGUUAAACAGUAUGUGAAAUUGUUAAAAGGGAACCGUUUGGAGCCAGACUGGCUUGUCUGUAAUCAAUCUAGGCUUCGGCCUGGAUGCACUUGCAGGCUAUGCCUGCCAACGACAAUUUGACUUGAGGGAAAAAACUAAGGGAAAUGUGGCCCACUUGUGGGUGUUAUAGUCCCUUAGAAAAUACCUUGGGUUGGAUUGAGGAACGCAGCGAAUGCUUUUUGGCGAGUUUUCCAGGAAGAUUUUCUGAGGUACUACGGUAUCGAGG